UGAGGAAUAUUGGGCAAUGGGCGCAAGCCUGACCCAGCCAUGCCGCGUGAAGGAUGAAUGCCCUAUGGGUUGUAAACUUCUUUUGUACGGGACAAAACUCCUGGUCGUGACCGGGAUUGAUGGUACCGUACGAAUAAGCUUCGGCUAACCCCGUGCCAGCAGCCGCGGUAAUACGGAGGAUGCAAGCGUUAUCCGGAUUCAUUGGGUUUAAAGGGUGCGUAGGCGGAAUAGCAAGUCAGCGGUGAAAGCCUGUGGCUUAACCAUAGAAAUGCCGUUGAUACUGUUAUUCUUGAGUGUAGUUGAAGUGGGCGGAAUGUGUAAUGUAGCGGUGAAAUGCUUAGAUAUUACACAGAACACCAAUUGCGAAGGCAGCUCACUAAGCUAAUACUGACGCUGAGGCACGAAAGCGUGGGGAGCAAACAG
rnacentral:rRNA from 1 species